rnacentral:rRNA from 1 species
GACGUAGGGCGCGAGCGUUGUCCGGAUUUAUUGGGCGUAAAGAGCUCGUAGGCGGCUUGUCGCGUCGUCCGUGAAAACCUGCGGCUCAACUGCAGGCUGGCGGUGGAUACGGGCAGGCUGGAGUUCGGUAGGGGAGACUGGAAUUCCUGGUGUAGCGGUGAAAUGCGCAGAUAUCAGGAGGAACACCGGUGGCGAAGGCGGGUCUCUGGGCCGAUACUGACGCUGAGGAGCGAAAGCGUGGGGAGCGAACAGG